rnacentral:rRNA from 1 species
AACGUAGGACGCAAGCGUUAUCCGGAAUUACUGGGCGUAAAGGGCGCGUAGGCGGCCUGGUCAGUCCCGUGUGAAAUCCCUCGGCUCAACUGAGGAACUGCACGGGAAACUGCCUGGCUUGAGUUCGGGAGAGGGAAGCGGAAUUCCGGGUGUAGCGGUGAAAUGCGUAGAUAUCCGGAGGAACACCGGUGGCGAAGGCGGCUUCCUGGACCGACACUGACGCUGAGGCGCGAAAGCUAGGGGAGCAAACGGG